rnacentral:lncRNA from 10 species
CUACACUGGCGGCCAUGGCGAGACGUCUCCACUAAAACCCCAAACCAGGUUUCUGUUGGAAGGAGGAGGAGGAAGUUAGGGGCGUCUGCUGCUUUUCCCUCACUCCCUCUCCAGGCCACUCCUUGCAUCCCUGGCGCCUCCAGGAAAUCUCUGGCUUCCUCUCCAGGGCGCUUCCUCUGUGCUUCCCUGGCUGCACUCCGAAGACCUGGGUAGCCCAUUAAAUUGAAAAUCCAGAGCACUGGGUCCCUUCCUCCCUGCAAGGAGGGCUUAAUUUCCAAACUUUCCUGGCAGGUGAAGAGAAACAUCUGCCUCCGUCCCGGCCCCGCUGGAGUAGCCAGGAAAACAAGACUUUUGUUUCCAUAGUGAAACAGCUGGGCCACCCCCAUCCUGCCCUGCUGGGAUUUUCCAAGGCUUCAUAUCCAUUUCCAGUUUCCAGACUGAAAACCACGUGGGCCCAGGUGCGGGAGACCUGGGUGCUGACCUUGCUGGUGCCCUCGACUUGCUGUGUGCCCUUGGGGACAUGUGGGAGACUCCAGGUGCCGUGCCUCCCAGUCAGCCCAUGCUAGGGCCAAAGGAUCUGGAGGACUCCUGCCUCAACCCAAGAGCCAUUUGUUGACAGCUGCUCCUGGCCACGUGUGUGGGCACGGGGACACUGGAGGUCAGCUGGAUCUCCCCAAGAGCUGGAGGAUGUUACCUGGGUACAGAUAACAGCGGCUGCACGUGUAGACGCUCCCGGUGGGAACUUGGGCUUCCUCGGCUGGAAUAUGGGCACAGAAAAUUUCAUUUUUGGCUGGGCAUGGUGGCUCACGCCUGUAAUCCCGGCACUAUGGGCGGCCAAGGCAGAUCACUUGAGGCCAGGAGUUCGAGACCAGCCUGGCCAACAUGGCGAAGCCCCAUCUCUACUAAGAAUACAAAAAAAUUAGCCGGGUGUGGUGGCGGGCACCUGAAGUCCCAACUACUCCUGAGGCUGAGGCAGGAGAAUCGCUUGAACCCAGGAGGUGGAGGUUGUGGCGAGCUGCGAUCGCGCCACCGCACUCCAGCCUGGUGACAGAGUGAGACUCCAUCUCAAAAAAACAAAAAAAGAAAAGAAAAGAAACAAAGAAACAAAGGCGUUCCUCACUUCCACUGGAGAUCAAAUGAAACAUGGAUCCUGCGUACAGAAUUUACUGGAGGCCGUCCAGUGACCAGGCCUUGACUUUUAUCAAAAUUCUCAGACAUUCAAGGUUAGACGCUAUGGAAGCUAGAGGGAACAACCCUGCUGAUAAUACUGCUACGAAGGCUGCCGUUAAUCAACUCCGUGUAAUCAAAUCUCUCUUGCGGCCCCACUCAAAGAAACUUCAAAAGAUGAACCACAAAUAAUUACCAAAGAUGGGGCACCAGAGGCCAAAAAAGAAAACUGGAAAGAUCAUGGCUGCUGAUGUGACGAUAAAAGAGAGCUGUGGUUUGGAUCUGAUAACAAACCAGUUCUUUGAAAUUCAGUGAAAUACUCAGUUAACCGCGGAACACAGUUUGACUCAUCGGGUAACCAACAAAUUGAUUUCUUUUAUAAGACAAUAUUGGUGGGCAGCAUUUAAAAGCUGCAAAAAAAAAUGAAACAAAAAAAGAAGAAAAAAGAAAAAAGCUGCAAAAAAUGCUUAUUUGACCAGUGGCCCCUGCCCUAAGUUUAUUUCAGGAAAACCUGUAAGUACUGAUUCUGGCUUGUGUGUGUUGGUGUGUGUGUUUGUGUGUGACUGGGUCUCACUCUGUCACCCGGGCUGGAGUGCAGUGGCACGAUCUUGGCUCACUGCAACCUAUUUUGGCCAGUUUCACAUAAUUUCCAUUUUAGUUACCAUUCUCAAUCUUCUGACCUAAUAGAGCAAACAGAUGGAACUGUAAAAACCCACUUGGCUUUUGGAGGCCGAGGCGGGCAAAUAACGAGAUCAGGAGUUCGAGACCAGCCUGGUCAAAAUGGUGAAACCCCAUCUUUACUAAAAAUACAAAAAUU